rnacentral:lncRNA from 1 species
AUGCAUAGCUCCCUUGUCAGGUUAGUGGGAGUAGGGAUUGUGACGUCUGCAGGGGUGUGGAAGGCUGGGCGACGGGAGCAGCUUACAGGGCUGGACCAGAAAUACUCUUUUCCAUCAGUGAAAUCCACUUCCGGGUCAGAAAAACCUGCAAGUUCUGGAGGGGCAGGGCCUAGGAGGAGGUGUGCUCUAUCAGAAGGCUUCCCCUUUCUGUUAGACAGAGUCCUGGAAGAAGAAAUGAACACUGCUGAGAAAGAUGUUCCACAAGGAGGAAGGAGUCACCGUUUUCAGGAGCAUGAUCCCCAGAAGCAUGAGAAAUCCAGAUGCCAUGGCUUUACACAGGACGCUGGAGUUUCUUUCCUCUGGAUCCAGGACCUUGGCAUCGGUGUUCUGUAAUGCCCAUAACUGAAUUUGAGUGUUGCACCCAAGAUUCUGUGAUUCUACAGAGUCCUGAGUUCUGUCCUGGACAUCUCUACUCUUGGGUAGGUCAACUUUGAUCACUGUACCUAAUGAUAAAUGUACCGUUAAAUCUAAUCAGCAAAUACACUAAAGGAAGGGGCCAUUCUCCACAAUUGUUUCACUCUGGUAGGUCAACUUUAAUAACUGUACCUAAGAAGAAAGGGAUCUGUGAUGAUUCCACAUCAAAGAACCUGUUGACUUUUUGCCAUUUGAAUGAAUUAUGUUAACAUUUAAAUAGAGUUUAAAACCCCAGAUUUCCCAUGAAAUCUAAUCAGCAGAUACACAAAAGGAAGGGGCCAUUCUCCAAAAUCAUUUCCACUGAAACACCACCACCAAUAAACAAGUCUCAUUGCAGGAAAGGGAUCCUGCUUCCAAGAUCCAGUUUGCACAGUUGGAAGAUUGACCCAGAAUCUCCCCUAAUGCCAUUUUUUUUUACACCUGAAGUGAGAUUUAUUUCAGGGUUUUCUAAUUUUAUUUCAGCUGAAUACACACAGUCUUGUGUUUCAAUUUCUUUCAAACACCUUUUAAUAAUGAAGUAUCUUGCUGCUUCACCCCAUAACUAAUGCCCACCCACCGGUUCCACUACAUUUACCCAUCAAUUACCCAAUUUACCAAUGAAAUAUCAGUAGUCAAUUA